rnacentral:rRNA from 1 species
CUACGGGGUGCAGCAGUGGGGAAUUUUGGACAAUGGGCGAAAGCCUGAUCCAGCCAUUCCGCGUGAGUGAUGAAGGCCUUCGGGUUGUAAAGCUCUUUCGGCCGGGAAAAAAUCGCAUGGGUUAAUACCCUGUGUGGAUGAUGGUACCGGACUAAGAAGCACCGGCUAACUACGUGCCAGCAGCCGCGGUAAUACGUAGGGUGCGAGCGUUAAUCGGAAUUACUGGGCGUAAAGCGUGCGCAGGCGGAUGUUUAAGUCAGAUGUGAAAUCCCCGGGCUCAACCUGGGAAUGGCAUUUGAAACUGGGAAUCUAGAGUGCGUCAGAGGGGGGUGGAAUUCCACGUGUAGCAGUGAAAUGCGUAGAGAUGUGGAGGAACACCGAUGGCGAAGGCAGCCCCCUGGGAUGACACUGACGCUCAUGCACGAAAGCGUGGGGAGCAAACAGGAUUAGAUACCCCAGUAGUC